rnacentral:rRNA from 1 species
CAGCCGCCACGGUAAUACGUAGGGUGCAAGCGUUAAUCGGAAUUACUGGGCGUAAAGCGUGCGCAGGCGGUUCGUCAAGACAGAUGUGAAAUCCCCGGGCUUAACCUGGGAACUGCAUUUGUGACUGGCGAGCUAGAGUAUGGCAGAGGGGGGUAGAAUUCCACGUGCAGCAGUGAAAUGCGUAGAGAUGUGGAGGAAUACCGAUGGCGAAGGCAGCCCCCUGGGCCAAUACUGACGCUCAUGCACGAAAGCGUGGGGAGCAAACAGGAUUAGAUACCCGGGUAGUCCCUGUCUCUUAUAC